rnacentral:rRNA from 1 species
CCUGAAUUAGAUCAGAAGUGACGGGCAAUUUGUGCAUAUAAAAUUAAAAUUUCAGCUUUAAUUUUAUUUUUUUAAAAACUUAAUAUUAAAUCCUAUUUAUUUCUUUUGAUUGAACAUUUCAAAUUUCUUAAAUAAAUGUGUUUCAUUUUGACCUAAAAUAUAACCUUUGUCUUGAUUUGUAAUAAGAUUUAAAAAAUUUUAAGAAAAUUUUUUUAAAAAUUUUCUAUGUACAAUGAUAUAAAAAGUUUGAAUUUAAGUUGAUUUAAUCGUGGAUUAUCUAUUAAAAAACAAAACCCCCUAAUAAAUUUUAUACCGCCAUUUCAUUUAGAUUUUUCUUAAUUAGGUACUAUCCUAAAUAAUAAUAAAA